AAGAGGACUUCCAAUUUGGAGGACUUGACUUGCAAGACAAGUCCACGGGGACGUCUACAACAAGUUUGGAAGAUUUCCUAGGUUUAUUAAAAUUGUCUUCCCAAGCAAAUCUAGAGACCUUGAAGGCUAGAUUCAGAGUACUUUCCGAGCAAAUCCAGAAAAAAACAUCUGGGCAUUUCCGGAAGAUCUCCAAAACUAGUUCGGAAAUCUCCUAACUCUAGUUCGCGUAGGACUAAUUGCCAGUGCAUUUUGGAGGAUUUCCAGAUCAAACCCCAGAGAAUUUCUAGUUCAAGUUCAGAGGGCCAAAUGCCAAGAUUUGAAGAUUCCUAAGUCAAGCUUUAAGAACUCACACUGGCAAAUACAUUGAACUACAUGUGCAGUUUGCCAGAGAAAGUGCCGAAGACUUCAUAAGGAAGCAGAGAAUUUCUGGAUCCAUUCAAGAGGAGUUCCAAUUUAUAGGACUUUACUUUCAAAACAAGUCCACGGGACGUCGAGUUUGGAAGAUUUCCUUGGAAUAUUCAAAAGGACUUCCCAAGCAAAUCAAGAGGCCUUGUAAGCUAUAUUCAUAGUACUUCCCGACCAAAUCCAAGGGCAUUUUCGGAAGGCCUCCAAAACUAGUUCAGUAAACUCCUAACUCUGGUUCAAUAGUCCUCAGCGAAUUGCCAGUGAAUUUUGGAGGAUUUCCUAAACAUACCCAAGAGAAUUUCUAGUUCAAGUUCAGAUUUGGGUCAAGAUAUAAACACUCACACCGGAAAAAACCGAGGAUUACAUAUGCAGCGGAUUUCCGGAGAAAGUCCCGAAGCCUUCAUUAGGAAGCAGAGAGAUUAUGGAUCCAGUUUAGAGGGCUUGGUCGUCAAGACAAGUCCACGGGAUGUCUACAACAAGUUUGGAAGAUUUCCUAGGUAUAUUCAAAAAGACUUCCCAAGCCAAUCUAGAGGCCUACAAUUGUAGGCUAUAUUCAGAGUACUUUCCGAUCAAAUCCAGUAAAACUUCUGGGCAUUUCCGGAAGACUCCCAAAACUAGUUCGCUGAGGACUAAUUGCCAGUGCAUUUUGGAGGAUUUCCAGAACAAAGCCCAGAGAAUUUCUAGUUCGAGUUCAGAGGACAUUUGGGUCAAGAUUUGAAGACUUCCAGGUCAAGUUCUAAGAACUUGCAUCGUAAAAUACAGAGGAUCACAUAUGCAGGGGAUUUCCGGAGAAAGUCCAGUUUAUGAAUCAAGUUUAGACGACUUGACUGUCAGAACAAGUCCAAGGACUUCCCAAGCCAGUCUACACGGCCAAUCAGAAUGACUCAGCGACUGAAUUCAAUUGCUCAUAUUUAGGAAACCCUGCAGUUACUCAUUAGCUAUGAGUUCCUGUAGGUUUUCCCAAAUAUGAGUAAAUUUCGUAUGGAAAUUAGAUGAUCUGCGCCAAUUUAAUUCAGUCGCUGAGUCGUUCUGAUUGGCCGUGUAGAGGCCUUGUGGGUUAUAUUCAGAGUACUUUCCGGUCACAUCCAGAAAAACUUCUGGGCAUUGCCCGAAGACUCCCAAAACUAGUUUGGAAAUCUUCUAACUUUGGUUUGCUAAGAACUAUUUGCCAAUGCAUUUUGGAGGAUUUCCAGUGUCGUGAACGACGCCAGCUGAAUCCUUCCACGAUCAACACGAACGUAGAAAAGAUACGUCCAAUCGCACAAAGUAGAUCCAACAGAACCAUGAGUUAUUGGCGUUGACGAGAGCUCUGUAGCCCUUCACUUCUAUGGGGACAUUGCAUAUGUAACUGUCACUGUGAAAUAUGGUGGACUUUUUCUUAUUCUCCACCACAAAAUCCUAUAAGGAACUGCCAAAAUUUGUGUGAAGAAACGUCACUUCGGCACCGUCGUCAUGACGAAUUUCAUUUUCCACAGUUCAGUUGACUCGAUCAUAACUCACUUUCUUUAUAACACGAACCUAAAGCUGGGCUUAGACUAGGCAAGUCAAAUGAUCAACUCAGUUGAAUUCAAUUGGCUUGAGAAGUUGAGCCAGGUUCAACUUUUUUCAAUUCAAGUGAGUUGAUCAAGUCCAACUGACUUGAUCAACUGGCAUGCUGUCUAAACCCAGCUUAAGAGGAAGAGGAGACAAUACGGGGACGAAAACGAACCACUUUUCUGUCCAACGCGAACCAGCUCGUGAUUGGCCGAUUUGAAGUGCGUAAGAUAGAGAUAGAGAAAUAGAUAGAGAUAAAAGAGUAAGUAGCCAGUUGUCUCCUGUUCCUCUUAAGCUGGGUUUAGACAGGGCAAGUCAAUUGAUCAAGUCAGUUGAAUUCAACUUACUUGAACGUGAAUUGAACGUGUAAACCAUGCCAUUCAACUGACUUGAUCAACUCACUUGAAUUGAAAAAAAAUUGAACCAGGCUCAACUUUUCAAGCCAAUUGAAUUCAACUGAGUUGAUCAUUUGACUUGCCUAGUCUAAACCCAGCUAUAGGGUUUUAUGAUCCCGCCCACACAAGCUGCUUCUCGUUUUCUCCGUUAUCUUCGUGCAUUUCGUUAAGCGUCAAAUAUCGAAAUAUUUCAAUGUCUACUUCCGACACAGCAAUUUGUCGACUUUGUACUUCAAACCAAAGCUAAUAAACUUUCCUAAAUCUUAACCUUAUCGACUGCAUCCAGAACCAAGCCCAGAAAAUGUCUUAUUCAAGUUCAGAGGACAUUUGGAUCAAAAUUUGAAGAUUUACAGGUCAAGCUCUAAGAACUCACACGGGAUCAUACAGAGAAGACUUUCUCAGAAUGCUUGGACAAGGUAAACGGCAAUUCUAAAAAGAAAUCUAAGUCUUUUCAGAGGAGUUCCAGGACAAGGCCAGAAGACUUUUACGUUCAGGCAACUUUGAUUUUAAGAGUAACAGCAACCUUUAAAAUUCUUAUGAUCAGACAAUUCACUCAGUUGUUUCGGAAACAAUUUAUCGAAAGCUUGCCCAAUCAAACUACACCCCAGUCUCAAAUGGAAAUCAAACACCUAAUCAAUACUAUUUCUACAGUACGUCCUAAGCUACCCCCUAAACAUAACCUAUCAACACUCCUCAAUAGACGAACUAAACUCAAUCCGUUUUAACACAAACAACCGUAAAAGAAAUAACCAGAAAUAACUGUAUAAUUUGAGUGCCAAGCUACACACAAACACACAGAAACACACACAUACAGACACACACAUACAUUCGAGAAAAGAAACAUGCAAUAUUGACAAACAGAUUUUUUUCUACCGAAGUCCAACCCAAUCGAGAACACACACAAACAAUAGAAAAACCGGGAGCAGAAUAAGAGGCUUAAGGAAUUUCUCAGAGCGAAGGAACAAUUGAAAACUACGCUGAACAUAACGGAAGUAAACAGAAACCAAUACAAGCGCAAACGUCUUGUAUGAAUCAACCAUUUGAUCACGCAAGAGAAACAGACAGAUGGACAAAGUGUGAAAGACGACACCUUGUAGCAAAAAAAGAAGAAGAAGAAGAAGCAUAAAAAGUAUAUUAUUAUUGAUAAAUAAUAUUAAUGAACAGAAUAAUGAUAAGAAAAUAAGAAAACACACACACACACUGUAGUGCCUGUUCCCAAAAAAUUCAAAGAUAUAAACAUUAAAUAAAAGAAAAAGAAGAGAUACAGAUGGAAGCGAAAGAGAAGCGGUGAGUGCAGUGACACUCACACAUGGAGAAAAAAAAACAAAAGGAAAAGAAAACAGCGGAUCAGAAUCGAUUGAUGGCGGAUUUCGCGUGGCGAAUGAGAGACAGAUAGGAAGAGAAAAAUGAGCAAACAAGAAAGCGAUUGUUGGCUUUCGUAGUUUUAUUACGUUUACGAACAAGAAGAAGAAGAAGCAGAAAACGUUUCUCCUCGAUUUUCCGUUUUCCUUCGAUUAGUGGUUUAAGUUUUUGUGCGCUAAAGUAGCUGUAGUAGUGUUGGAAAGCGAGAGGCGAUUUACAUAUGCUUAGUUCUUAUUGCCUUAGUUUAUUCGUUCUUUAAGUAACAUCAACGGUAGGAAGUUGAAUGGAACAAGCAAGUGAAGAGGAAGAUUUACAAAAUACUUUUAGAUUUAUUGUCGUACCAUUUAAGGGAAGUUCUACAUGAAAAGCUAUUAGGCAGACAGAAAAUUGAUGCAACAUUAGUUUCUAGUGAGACGCAAAAUAAUGAUAUCUUUUUUCCGUUUAUAUUUUUUGUCGAAAGAUUCUGGUGGAAAGCCAGACUACCAGCCGCCGGUCAUUCGUAGCGCGGAACGAAUGUGGAAACAAAACAAAAUAACACACACACACACACACAUACUUGUAGUAGGAAGCAUCGCUUUUGUUACUUUAAGCAUAUUUAAUCCGAAUUAAGACGCGAGCGGAAAGAAGUGAAAUCGAUUUUACUUAGUAUCAUAAAAAAUAUAAAAUUACAAAAAAGCAUCGUUUUGAUGGAAAAGUGUAGAUAAAGUGCAAAAAAAAAACAAAACAAAAUAAUGAAUAAUAUAUUUUUCAAAACCCGAUAGAACAGAAAGCGAAACAAAAACAAAAUAAGUUGAUUUGUUCAUACUUUUCUGAUUUUUACUAUCACACACACACAUACAUUGAAAUAGAAAACAGGAGAAAAAAGUGCAGAACUAAACAAGCAAAAACAAAACAAAACAAAAAACAAUUGAAAUUGAUGUUAUGUUGAAGUUUUUCUCUUAAAAGUAAGGUCAAGUUAAGCGAAACAAUACAAAACUGGAUUAUUUACAGAAGUUCUUAUUAUUGAUUUAUUUACACCGCAGAUAGAGCCAGAGAACGAGCGAAAACGAAAAGAAAAAAAAAUAGACAAAACGCACACCGCGCACAGAGCGAGUGGCGUUACUUGUUAGCUCCCUUUGCGCGAGUGUGCGUGAAAAACCCACAUGAACCAACCUCCUCCCUCAACAGCAACAGCAAUUACAUACAAACACAUACACACACACAUAGAUCACACAAGCAAACAGAGAAAAGAACCGAGAAUUGAACGCAGACUAACAUAUAAAUAUUCAUAUAGCGCAGCAGCUGGGCUGAGAACGUAACGUCAGUUUCAAUUAGUUUUCUUAGAAACAGAAGGAGUCAAAGCGACUACCGCAUGGCAGAUGAGUUUUGGGUUUCAAGCAUGUCCAUUUGAGUUGCAGUUGAUUUUCUGUUUUCCUCUACGGGAAAAGUAGAAACUUUUCGGGACAAUUAAAAAAAAAUGAAGAAAAAAUAUAACCUUAAACACUUAGAAAUGACCAAAAUUGACUUCCACACUGCUUUGAAGCGAUAUGAAAAAAACAUAAAUAAAGAGAAAUAAAAUUAUGAGAAACUUUUAGCUGCCUUUAGACCCAAAAUCUUGAAUGAUGAUAACACUCUUAAACACUCACAUGAGUUGACAUAAUUUUCUCUUUAAUUAAGAAAUCCGAGAACAAAAAAAAACGGAAUAUUAAAGCACAUCGGAGUAACCAAACUUAAUGGACAUGUUAAACAGAAGAAUAAGCAGAAGCAAAAAUAAACCGACACUCACACUCACACAA